GGGUUGCUAACUCAAUGGUAGAGUACUCGGCUUUUAAGUGCGCGACGAGUUCC
rnacentral:tRNA from 1 species